rnacentral:rRNA from 1 species
CCUACGGGAGGCAGCAGUGAGGAAUAUUGGUCAAUGGGCGGAAGCCUGAACCAGCCAAGUAGCGUGCAGGAUGACGGCCCUACGGGUUGUAAACUGCUUUUAUACGGGAAUAACGCGCCUUACGUGUAGGGCUUUGCAUGUACCGUAUGAAUAAGGACCGGCUAAUUCCGUGCCAGCAGCCGCGGUAAUACGGAAGGUCCGGGCGUUAUCCGGAUUUAUUGGGUUUAAAGGGAGCGUAGGCCGCAUGUCAAGCGUGCUGUGAAAUGUCCGGGCUCAACCCGGGCCUUGCAGCGCGAACUGGCGUGCUUGAGUCCGCGGAAAGCAGGCGGAAUUCGUCGUGUAGCGGUGAAAUGCAUAGAUAUCACGAGGAACCCCGAUUGCGAAGGCAGCCUGCCGGGGUGCGACUGACGCUGAGGCUCGAAGGUGCGGGUAUCAAACAGGAUUAGAUACCCUAGUAGUC